GUAGGACCAGGUGAUUGGUUUAUGUCUGUAACCACUACAGUACUGUAGUACCAGGUGAUUGGUUUAUGUAUAUAACCAGUACAGUACUAUAAGACCAGGUGAUUGGUUUAUGUCUGUGACCAGUACAGUACUAUACGACCAGGUGAUUGGUUUAUGUCUGUAACCAGUACAGUACUGUAGUACCAGGUGAUUGGUUUAUGUAUAUAACCAGUACAGUACUAUAAGACCAGGUGAUUGGUUUAUGUCUGUGACCAGUACAGUACUAUACGACCAGGUGAUUGGUUUAUGUCUGUAACCAGUACAGUACUGUAGUACCAGGUGAUUGGUUUAUGUAUAUAACCAGUACAGUACUAUAAGACCAGGUGAUUGGUUUAUGUCUGUAACCAGUACACUACUAUAAGACCAGGUGAUUGGUUUAUGUAUAUAACCAGUACAGUACUAUAAGACCAGGUGAUUGGUUUAUGUCUGUAACCAGUACAGUACUGUAGUACCAGGUGAUUGGUUUAUGUAUAUAACCAGUACAGUACUAUAAGACCAGGUGAUUGGUUUAUGUCUGUGACCAGUACAGUACUAUAAGACCAGGUGAUUGGUUUAUGUCUGUAACCAGUACAGUACUGUAGUACCAGGUGAUUGGUUUAUGUAUAUAACCAGUACAGUACUAUAAGACCAGGUGAUUGGUUUAUGUCUGUAACCAGUACAGUACUAUAAGACCAGGUGAUUGGUUUAUGUCUGUAACCAGUACAGUACUUUAGGACCAGGUGAUUGGUUUAUGUCUGUAACCAGUACAGUACUGUAGUACCAGGUGAUUGGUUUAUGUAUAUAACCAAUACAGUACUGUCGUACCAGGUGAUUGGUUUAUGUCUGUAACCAGUACAGUACUGUAGUACCAGGUGAUUGGUUUAUGUCUGUAACCAGUACAGUACUAUAAGACCAGGUGAUUGGUUUAUGUCUAUAACCAGUACAGUACUGUAGUACCAGGUGAUUGGUUUAUGUAAGUAACCCUGCAGUACUGUAGUACCAGGUGAUUGGUUUAUGUCUAUAACCAGUACAGUACUGUAGGACCAGGUGAUUGGUUUAUGUCUGUAACCCUGCAGUACUGUAGGACCAGGUGAUUGGUUUAUGUCUGUGACCAGUACAGUACUGUAGGACCAGGUGAUUGGUUUAUGUAUAUAACCAGUACAGUACUGUAGUACCAGGUGACUGGUUUAUGUCUGUAACCAGUACAGUACUAUAAGACCAGGUGAUUGGUUUAUGUCUGUAACCCUGCAGUACUGUAGUACCAGGUGAGUGGUUUAUGUCUGUAACCCUGCAGUACUGUAGUACCAGGUGACUGGUUUGUGUCUGUAACCAGUACAGUACUAUAAGACCAGGUGAUUGGUUUAUGUAUGUAACCCUGCAGUACUGUAGUACCAGGUGAUUGGUUUAUGUCUGUAACCCUGCAGUACUGUAGUACCAGGUGAUUGGUUUAUGUCUGUAACCCUGCAGUACUGUAGGACCAGGUGAUUGGUUUAUGUAUAUAACCAGUACAGUAUUGUAGUACCAGGUGACUGGUUUAUGUCUGUAACCAGUACAAUACUAUAAGACCAGGUGAUUGGUUUAUGUCUGUAACCCUGCAGUACUGUAGUACCAGGUGAUUGGUUUAUGUCUGUAACCCUGCAGUACUGUAGGACCAGGUGAUUGGUUUAUGUCUGUAACCAGUACAGUACUGUAGGACCAGGUGAUUUUACUGGCCGGUUCAGGUCACAUGGUCAGGAACAACUGGCCUCUGUGGCCAAUGUGACAGAAAAUGAAUCCUCAAGAAAUGGGCCCAAAACAUCUGUGAUUUGUUUCCUUAAAACGUGUUAUUUUUGAUUGAUUUGUAUUUAUUUUAUGUCUGAGUUUGUUCAUGUCCUGCCAGUGCAAACCAAAACGUAGUCAUUGAUAAAAGCUCUCCGACGUCUUGAAAUCAAAUCAAACUUUAUUUGUCACGAGUCGAAUACAACAUGUAGACCUCACCGUGAAACGCUUACCUACAAGCCCCCCUUUAACCAACAGUGUAGACCUUACCUACAAGCCCCCCUUUAACCAACAGUGUAGACCUUACCUACAAGCCCCCUUUAACCAACAGUGUAGACCUUACCUACAAGCCCCC
ensembl:lncRNA